CUCUGUGAGGACCCCAUUGAGAGAAGGUCUUGGCUGGGAGUAGGUUGAGGCCAGGGACAUUGAGUCAAUCCAGGGUUAUUACCAUGUUUGUAUACAAAUGUUCAAGUAAUUUAACAAUGAGAACUUUUGACCUGUGAAUAGGCCCUCUCCACUUCACUGACUGAUAGCAAAGUGCAGAGGAAAGAUUGAUUGGUUGCCACUUCUGAUGUCACAAUUAUGCUACUUAUGAAUCACCUGAGUUACUGAGCAAAUUGCACAGGAAAGAUUGAUUGGUUGGUACUUCUGAUGUCACAAUGAUGCUAUUUGUAAAUCACCUGAGUUACCGGCAUAGCUCUGUCACCAUAACCUCUAGAUGUGACUGUUGAGAGCUUUUCUUAUUAUAGUCUAGCUUCUUUACAUGAGGUUGAAAUCUGAUUGAAUUGCAAAUUAUAUUAGUAACUAUGGAAUAUAUGAAGAGUUUGGGGUCUUCUGUCAUUGAAAUAAUCAAAGCCAAGAAUAAGCGUGAAAUGUUGGAGCAAAAAAUGGACGACCUACUGAGUCAUCAGAGACAAUUUGUCGAAAAUAAUUGUCGGUCCUUAGAACAGAAAAUAAAAGAAAAGGAAAAGGAAGUAUUUUGUCAGCUACAUGACUUACUGGGAGGGGAUCUCCCGUGCGACCAGAUAAACAGGGACUUGCAGCAAGCCAACGACGCUCUACGAGCAGAACUCGACAAAGUAGGAUUUUUAAUAUCUGAACUAUUCAAAU